GAACGCACCUUGCACCCUUUGGCAUUCCGAAGGGUAUGCUCGUUUGAGUGUCAUUGUACUCUCACACUCCCAGUCUUUGGAUUGGGAGGUGGACUUGGGUGUUGCUGCUUACCGUGGCUCACCUCAAAUGGAUUUGUGCAACUCUUGGUUGGACAUAGUACGGCGUAAUAAGUGUUUCGCCGGCACCUCACUAGAGGGUGGCUGAUCGGGAGCUCUGUGCUUCAAACCGUCUUCGGACAAUGACUGACAACUUGACCUCAAAUCGAGUAGGACCACCCGCUGAACUUAAG
rnacentral:misc_RNA from 1 species